rnacentral:tRNA from 1 species
UAGUAGUGGCGAGCGAACGCGGACUAGCCCAGUGACUUGAAGUUUCUAACCAGAACGGCAUGGAAAGGCCGGCCACA